GGAAUAUCCUGGCCAUCUAGGCAACAUCUCUUUCUAGAAUACUGAACUCUUAUGUUUGGUUUACUUGCUGUUCUCCCCCACACUGCAAGUGCUGCUGUAAGCUGAACCACUCUGGGAAAAUUUCCAAGGAAUAAUGGGAGGAAUUCUCAAGGACAAGAUGAGGACAGCACAAGGCUGAAAUAUAUCCCAGUGAGGCUGCAAAGGAUGUGGAAGGAAAGCUACAGAUGGCAGGUGGCAGCCUGCAGAACCAAGCACAGCCCUGACCUGAUGAGCUGCUUCUCAUCCAGAACUAAUAAAACCAAAGAUUAAGAGGGAAGAGAGAGCCAAUUCAGUGCAGGUAAAGAACUGGUUACUAUAGCAACUGUUUUCUUCUUUGAGCAUAGGUUGGGAGGACUCCCUUGCAAGGGGAUUUCUGUGCAGUCCCCAGGCUGGAGGGGGAAGUUGCU